rnacentral:pre_miRNA from 1 species
UUUCAUGGAUGAGCAAUGAAAGUGGUUUCUUGAGAUGGAAUCUCCUCCUGGUGAAGCUACUGUGAA